GAGUUUGAUCCUGGCUCAGGAUGAACGCUGGCGGCGUGCCUAACACAUGCAAGUCGAACGAAGCACCUUUUAAGAUUCUUCGGAUGAUUGAUCGGUGACUGAGUGGCGGACGGGUGAGUAACGCGUGGGUAACCUGCCCUGUACAGGGGGAUAACAGUUGGAAACGGCUGCUAAUACCGCAUAAGCGCACGAGAGGACAUCCUCUUGUGUGAAAAACUCCGGUGGUACAGGAUGGGCCCGCGUCUGAUUAGCUGGUUGGCAGGGUAACGGCCUACCAAGGCGACGAUCAGUAGCCGGUCUGAGAGGAUGAACGGCCACAUUGGAACUGAGACACGGUCCAAACUCCUACGGGAGGCAGCAGUGGGGAAUAUUGCACAAUGGGGGAAACCCUGAUGCAGCAACGCCGCGUGAGUGAAGAAGUAUUUCGGUAUGUAAAGCUCUAUCAGCAGGGAAGAUAAUGACGGUACCUGACUAAGAAGCUCCGGCUAAAUACGUGCCAGCAGCCGCGGUAAUUC
rnacentral:rRNA from 1 species